ACUCCUACGGGAGGCAGCAGUGGGGAAUAUUGCACAAUGGGGGAAACCCUGAUGCAGCCAUGCCGCGUGUGUGAGGAAGGCCUUAGGGUUGUAAAGCACUUUCAGUGGGGAGGAAAGGGUGGAAGCUAAUACCUUUCAUCUGUGACGUUACCCACAGAAGAAGCACCGGCUAACUCCGUGCCAGCAGCCGCGGUAAU
rnacentral:rRNA from 1 species